rnacentral:rRNA from 1 species
AGCGUUGUUCGGAAUUACUGGGCGUAAAGGGCUCGUAGGCGGCCAACUAAGUCAGACGUGAAAUCCCUCAGCUUAACUGGGGAACUGCGUCUGAUACUGGAUGGCUUGGAUUCGGGAGAGGAAUGCGGAAUUCCAGGUGUAGCGGUGAAAUGCGUAGAUAUCUGGAGGAACACCGGUGGCGAAGGCGGCAUUCUGGACCGACAUUGACGCUGAGGAGCGAAAGCCAGGGGAGCAAACGGG